UACGUAGGGGGCAAGCGUUGUCCGGAUUUAUUGGGCGUAAAGAGCGUGUAGGCGGCCAGGUAGGUCAGCUGUGAAAACUCGAGGCUCAACCUCGAGACGUCGGUUGAAACCACCUGGCUAGAGUCCGGAAGAGGAGAGUGGAAUUCCUGGUGUAGCGGUGAAAUGCGCAGAUAUCGGGAGGAACACCAACGGCGAAGGCAGCUUGCUGGGACGGCACUGACGCUGAGACGCGAAAGCGUGGGGAGCAAACAGG
rnacentral:rRNA from 1 species